GACGAACGCUGGCGGCGUGCUUAACACAUGCAAGUCGAACGGAAAGGCCCUGCUUUUGUGGGGUGCUCGGGUGGCGAACGGGUGAGUAACACGUGAGUAACCUGCCCUUGACUUUGGGAUAACUUCAGGAAACUGGGGCUAAUACCGGAUAGGAGCUCCUGCUGCAUGGUGGGGGUUGGAAAGUUUCGGCGGUUGGGGAUGGACUCGCGGCUUAUCAGCUUGUUGGUGGGGUAGUGGCUUACCAAGGCUUUGACGGGUAGCCGGCCUGAGAGGGUGACCGGCCACAUUGGGACUGAGAUACGGCCCAGACUCCUACGGGAGGCAGCAGUGGGGAAUAUUGCACAAUGGGCGGAAGCCUGAUGCAGCAACGCCGCGUGCGGGAUGACGGCCUUCGGGUGGUAAACCGCUUUCGCCUGUGACGAAGCGUGAGUGACGGUAAUGGGGAAAGAAGCACCGGCUAACUACGU
rnacentral:rRNA from 1 species